rnacentral:rRNA from 1 species
GGGAAGAGCUCAAAUUUGUAAUCUGGCCCUUUCAGGGUCCGAGUUGUAAUCUCGAGAAGUGUUUUCCGCGCCGGACCGCAUACAAGUCUGUUGGAAUACAGCGUCAUAGUGGUGAGAGCCCCGUAAUUGAUGUGGAUGCCCGGUGCUUUGUGAUACACUUUCGAAGAGUCGAGUUGUUUGGGAAUGCAGCUCAAAUUGGGUGGUAAAUUCCAUCUAAAGCUAAAUAUUGGCGAGAGACCGAUAGCGAACAAGUACCGUGAGGGAAAGAUGAAAAGCACUUUGGAAAGAGAGUUAACAGUACGUGAAAUUGUUGGAAGGGAAACGCUUGAAGUCAGACUUGCUAUUCGGAAUUCAGCCGCAAGGUGUACUUUUCGAUUUGCAGGCCAGCAUCAGUUUUUGGGGGUGGAAAAGGGUGGAGAGAAGGUAGCAACCUUGGUUGUGUUAUAGCUCUUUACUGGAUUCAUCUUUGGGGACUGAGGAUCGCAGUGCGCAAUUUACUUUGCAAACCUUUCGAGGUUUUCGUACUUAGGAUGCUGGUGGAAUGGCUUUAAACGACCCGUCUUG